UUCAAGGCUACUCAUUUCCAGUUCUCAAGUAAGGGUGCAAGGGCCCGCCUUUCAUUAUAAUGGGAAUAGCGCAAGAGCACAUGCCACACAUCAAGAAAAAGAUCGAUAUGUUAUAAAGUAUCCGAAAUCGAAGAAGACUGCCAUUGCUGCGCCACUGAAGAAGGUUACAUGAAAGAGGCUCAUGGAGUACACUGUGGAGAUUUGCAGACAGGCGGGAUCACUGCAAAAAUCCUCAAUUCAGGCUAAUGUCAUCGUGCCAUCAACUCUGUCUAGCGAGUCUGAACUAGUGGUGCAGUACUAUCGGUAAAUCGACUAUCGAUAGCAUCGAUAGUUUCUUUGAAACUAUCUAUAGUGUAUACAAACUAUUGAUAGCACUACUAUUAACAAAGUAUCGAUAGUGCAAUCGAUAGUACCAUAGUUAAUAUUACUAUUUAUAUUAAUGUCACGCGUGUUUAUUGCUUUGUUCUGAUGUAUUCGGGUGUCACCCACAAAGACUGUUAGCAACGUUUUAUACGCAGAUUGCGCCGUAAUGUUUGAGAAACAUCACGAUUGCUUGAGGUCAUUCUGUUAAGAUUACGCAGCGGACGCAUGUAGUCAAGUUUAUUCGAGAGCUUGCACGAGCACCAGCGACAGCGCUGGACGGUUAGAUGACAUAUAUAUAUAAGACUACGCGUUCUACCGAUGAUCAGAUUACUCGACGGCCGACGACUGUUCUCGCCGGUAUCAGUGCGCGGCGUGCAUCGUUUGUAUUUUGAGUUGAUUUUCUGGGCACAAGUUCGCCCAAAUAAAGAGCUCCGUAU